ensembl:lncRNA
AAGCUCUUAUUUUGUUUUAUUGGAGUAUAAUUGCUUUACAGUUUGUCUUUGUUUCUGCUGUAAAAUGGAGUGAAUCAGCUAUGUCUAUACAUAUAUCCCCCCUCCCUCUUGGACCUCCCUCCCAUCCCUACCCCAUCCCACCUAUCCAGGUCACCAAACUGAGCUUCCUGUGAAAAGUGUCUUGAAAAUCUGAUUUUCAUUAGCACAUUUAUCUAUUUGGCAUCAUCCUCACAUUUUUGAGUCCAUGUGUUCUUAGGAAGCUGACUCUGGACUACAUGCUUUUUAAGAAACACCCUAUGGCAAGACUCUAAAUUUAUUUAAUGUUUCUAUUAAUAAUAUGAGAAUGCACCAUGCUGGUAGUCUGAACCAAAAACCUCGAUCCCCAGUUUCACAGUCCCAAUAACCCAUUUGUUAAAACCUCUAAUCUUGCAAGUAAUUCUUGUUUUUUAGACCCUAUUUAUCAAAAGGCUCCGUCAGUGAGAGUGAAUGUCUGUUAACCUGUUUGGCUGUCAGCUCUGUGGAAGUCUCUGAUCUGUGAGUAUCACAGCUAAUGUGUUUCAGAUCUCUCUAGUGCACCCCACACUCAAAAACUGUGUUCACUUGCCUCCCGUGGCAUGCUCACACUCGCCACACCCUUUGUUCUGGUUAUUUUUGUUUCAGAAGGUAGGGACACCUUAUUGGAAAGUGAGAUUUUGAUUCAAUUGGAAACAUUUCCUAAGUUCAUGGUGCCAUUCUGGUUCCCGGCUGUAUUUUCCAGUGAUAGUGUUUGCUCUGUAGAUUUUCUCUUCUCCUUUAGCAUAGAGGGCUUGAGAAAGUGAGAUAGUGAAACUGAGAGAUUGAAAGCUGCCUCUUGGGUACACGAAUACAAGGAGGCACUGCUAGUAUUAUCUUCAUAUGUUGAAAAGUCCAAGUUCCAUGAAAACACUUUUCUUCAUUCAUUAUUUCCUACUCAUUCUUCACAUAUAGGUCUUUUAUAAUCAAAUGACCCUUGGAAGUGUUUAUUAUCCGAAUGAUAUUGGUAUAUAGGAUGUGGUGUAACUUAGGGGUCACAAACUUUAAAAGGUCA